rnacentral:lncRNA from 1 species
AUUUUAUUCAAUAAGGUGUACAUAAUAACAAUAAAUGAUUACAAAUAAAAAGCCAUGUACAGUGCAUGAUCCUGAUCUGUGUGUAUAAACAUGAUGUUAAACUGAAUUCAUAAACAUGAUCCUCAUCUGUAUAAACAUGAUCAUGAUCUGUGUGUAUAAACAUGAUCCUGAUCUUUAUGUAUCAAUAUGAUCAUGAUUCGUAUGUAAAAACAUUAUCCUGACCUGUAUGCACAAAUAUGAUCAUGAUAGGUAAUGUAUAAACAUGAUCAUGAUAUGUAUAUUUAAACAUGAUUCUGAUCUUUAUAGAUAAACAUGGUCCCGAUUUGUAUGAAUAAACAUUAUCCUGAUCUAUAAGUGUAAACAAUUAAUCUGAUUCAUGAUUAGUUUUGCCUUUAUCAUAUUAAUCUGUGUGUAAUUUGGAAUGAUUUGUAUUUUAUAAUUCUAAUUAAAUAUUGGAAUAAAAUUUAACAAAUCCAAAUAAAUCAUUUAAAAGUUACAUUAAAAAAAAUUAAAAUAAUAGUACACCUUUUCUUAAUCAGUAAAACUAAACGAUAAAAGAUGAUAUUCAGUGUUAUAAAGUAUUGAAAUAUCUUUGUUUAC